rnacentral:rRNA from 1 species
AUGCUGGCCGAGACCAUGGACGCGUUCAUGGCCGCUUUGGUCUCAGUGUGUCCUCCGGCCCAGCACCACUGCGAAUGCCAGCGCAGCUAUGCCAUCAAGGAUCUCCGCCUCUGCUUCUACCCGUCGGCCCCUCACCUGAACUCCGUUGGCCGUGCCGUUGAGGACGUCCUCAGCUGCGGCAGGACCGAAUCCCUCGAACUUCUGAUAUCCCUGCUGCCCGGGGAAUACACGCCCUCGCAGCUCACCGAGUUCGGGCAGGAAUUGAUGUCAUUCUCCCGUGCCUACCAGGUCGCGUUCCGGUGGCUCACAAGGCUAUCCCUCAAGGGUCUUGCCUUCGGGGACUCUGACGUCAACGACCUCAUUAGAGCUUGCGAUAAGCUCAAGUGCCUCACUCGGAGAUCCUGCAGACUAGUUCAUCGCCACUCCGUGCUCAAGAUUGACACACCGUUUUCUGGGCUCCAGGAGCUCGAGUUCAUCCACUUUGUAUGCAGGAGGAUCGAGCUCAUCUCUGUCCCCAAGCUCAGUAAAGUGGACAGCCACUGGUCCUUGAAGAACCCUUCGGUUCGCUUCGGCUAUGUUCCCGAGCUUUGCAACGUCAGCCUCACUCGUCAGCCCAAGGUGUGGAAGGCGCCAUUCCUGCUGAGCGAGUGCUUGUCAAGGAGUGCAACGAACCUGUCGAAAUUGCAUCUCAAUUUUUGCCACCAAAUGAUUUGGAUUCAGCCAGAACAACCGAAACAGCUCGCUGUUAUAUUCAGCAACCUAACGGAUGUGGGGCUUUUCUGUAUCUUUCCUGAGUGUGAUCUGAGCUGGACCCUGUUUAUCCUUGAAGCUGCACCUGUCCUGCAGAAGUUUCAUUUAUCUCGAGCUCGACCAGGCGCCAAAUUGUCCGAGGACAGUGCGGAGAAGACCAACGUGGUGUGGGAACCAUCCAAGGAUUUCAAGCACUUCAACUUGAAGUGGCUGGAGAUUCAAGGGUUCGGGGAGGAAGGCAAGGUGACAAAUUAUAUAAGGCUAGUCAUGGAACGAGCUGUGGGGUUGAAGAAAAUCGUGCUGCUUGGAGAACCCCCAUGCGAGGACUGCACCGACUGUGAAACAAAGUCCCGGGUGGAUGAUGAAGCAAGCAGACGUCGGGUUAAGGAGGAACUCACCCAUGAAUCCUCCUGGUCUGUGGAGAUAAUAAUGCGCUGA